rnacentral:misc_RNA from 1 species
GAAAUGCGAUAAGUAAUGUGAAUUGCAUGCACCGUGAAUCAUCAAAUCUUUGAACGCACAUUGCACUGCCUGGAAUUCCGGGCAGUAUACCUGUUUGAGUAUCAGUAACACUCUACCGUGAUUGCCCUUCUAAAGGCGUCGCGGUAGGACUUGAGCGAUCGUUUUCUUUUGGAAGCGUUGCUUUAAAUUUAUUUGAGGUUCCCAGGCUGAAGCUUGACGCGCCGACAGAGUUAAUAGGUUCUCGAACCUUGAUCUGCCUGGCUAGUCUUGUCCAACGCCUGCAAGAAACUCAUUAAACACCGUACAGUGCGUGGGCAACCACGGCCUGUGAACAUGAUCUCAAAUCAGGUAAGAUUACCCGCUGAACUUAA